GGAGGAAAGCAGGGGAUCGAAAGACCUUGCGCUAAAGGAGCGGCCGAUGUCUGAUUAGCUAGUUGGUGGGGUAAAGGCUUACCAAGGCAACGAUCAGUAGUUGGUCUGAGGGGACGACCAACCACACUGGGGCUGAGACACGGCCCAGACUCUACGGGAGGCAGCAGUGGGGAAUUUUGGACAAUGGGCGAAAGCCUGAUCCAGCCAUGCCGCGUGAGUGAAGAAGGCUUCGGGUUGUAAAGCUCUUUUAGUCGGAAAGAAAGAAUUAUGACGAAUAAUCAUGAUUUAUGGCGGUACCGACAGAAAAAGCACCGGCUAACUACGUGCCAGCAGCCGCGGUAAUACGUAGGGUGCGAGCGUUAAUCGGAAUUACUGGGCGUAAAGGGUGCGCAGGCGGUUUUGUAAGUCAGAUGUGAAAGCCCCGGGCUUAACCUGGGAAUUGCGUUUGAAACUGCAAGGCUAGAGUGCAGCAGAGGGGAGUGGAAUUCCAUGUGUAGCAGUGAAAUGCGUAGAGAUGUGGAAGAACACCGAUGGCGAAGGCAGCUCCCUGGGUUGACACUGACGCU
rnacentral:rRNA from 1 species